AUGCAGCUGGUACGGUCUAGCAAGACUGCGAUUAACAUUAACGGGGAGGUGGGGCCUUCCUUUGUGUCCUCUGCGGGUGUGAAGCAAGAGGACCCGAUAUCCCCCCUUCUCUUCAACCUUGCCGUGGACGCGCUGGCGGGUAUCCUGGACAAAGCUAGGCGGGCCGGCCACCUCUCUGGAGUUGUCGGUCACCUCAUUCUAGGAGGGGGGUCACACCUCCAGUACACCAAUGACACCAUGAUUAUGGUGGAAGGAUCCACCCUUGACAUAGUUAACCUUAAGUUCCUACUCCUCUGCUUUGAGGCUAUGUCGGGACUCAAGGUUAACUUUGACAAGAGCGAGGUCAUCGUCCUGGGCUACCCUGCAGAGGACCAAUAG
rnacentral:rRNA from 1 species